rnacentral:rRNA from 1 species
GGAGUUAGCCGGUGCUUCUUCUGUGAGUGAUGUCCUUCCUGCCGGCUAUUAACCCGCAGGCCUUCUUCCUCACUGAAAGUGCUUUACAACCCGAAGGCCUUCUUCACACACGCGGCAUGGCUGGAUCAGGGUUGCCCCCAUUGUCCAAUAUUCCCCACUGCUGCCUCCCGUAGGAGUCUGGGCCGUGUCUCAGUCCCAGUGUGGCUGAUCAUCCUCUCAGACCAGCUACGGAUCGUCGCCUUGGUGAGCCGUUACCUCACCAACCAGCUAAUCCGACAUAGGCUCAUCCGAUAGCGCGAGGCCCGAAGGUCCCCCGCUUUCCCCCGUAGGGCGUAUGCGGUAUUAGCCUGGGUUUCCCCAGGUUAUCCCCCACUACCGGGCAGAUUCCUAUGCAUUACUCACCCGUCCGCCGCUCGCCACCAGGGAGCAAGCUCCCCGUGCUGCCGCUCGACUUGCAUGUGUUAGGCCUGCCGCCAGCGUUCAAUCUGAGCCANANAGACCAAGACUGACUCGGGACUCGGGGCUAGGGCGAACGACG